GACGAACGCUGGCGGCGUGCCUAACACAUGCAAGUCGAACGGAAGUAAGUGCUUCGGUAUUUACUUUAGUGGCGAACGGGUGAGUAACGCGUGAGGAACCUGCCUUUCAGUGGGGGACAACAGUUGGAAACGACUGCUAAUACCGCAUGACGCUUCUUAGGGGCAUCCCUGAGAAGUCAAAGCUUUAUGUGCUGAAAGAUGGCCUCGCGUCUGAUUAGCUAGUUGGCAGGGUGAUAGCCUACCAAGGCGACGAUCGGUAGCCGACCUGAGAGGGUGAUCGGCCACAUUGGAACUGAGAUACGGUCCAA
rnacentral:rRNA from 1 species